rnacentral:lncRNA from 1 species
UUGACGCAGAACUUUGCAGACUGGAAAAAUAGGAGUACGGCUGUGACGAAUUCUUCCAUAGGAGCAUUAUUUCAAGGUGCUCUCACAUGUACUAUUAUUUAAUUGUUAUGUCAAUUAUUAUUAUGAGUAACUAAUCUCAUCAGAUUAGGGAUUUUAGAUGAUUCUCUGUAGAACUAUUUAAACCAUGUAACUAUGUGUUCUUAUUUAUGCAAUCAAAACUAAUAGUUAUUCAGUUAAUUUCG